rnacentral:tRNA from 1 species
GGGCUGGGGCUCAGUGGUGAGCACUUGCCUAGCAUGCAUGAGGCACUGGGUUCGAUCCUCAGCACUACA